rnacentral:rRNA from 1 species
UACGUAGGUGACCAGCGUUGUCCGGAUUUACUGGGCGUAAAGAGCGCGCAGGCGGUCGAUCAAGUCGAGUGUGAAAGCCCCCGGCUCAACUGGGGAGGGUCACGCGAUACUGAUCGACUCGAAGGCAGGAGAGGGUAGUGGAAUUCCCGGUGUAGUGGUGAAAUGCGCAGAUAUCAGGAGGAACACCGGUGGCGAAGGCGGCACUCUGGGCCGGUACUGACGCUGAGGAGCGAAAGCGUGGGGAGCGAACAGG